GGGAAAAGAAAAAAUAUGAGCAAAGGAAAAAAAGGGAAACAAAGUUUUUGUAAAUAGGGAAGUUGGAGAAUAAUGGGGAAAAGAUAACCAAAAUAUAUCAUGUAAAGGUACAAGAUCCCAAUGGUGAUGUAACUGUACUGUAUACCUAAAAAGUAUCAAUAAACUCAAUUAAAAAAAAAAACCGCCUCCGCUCAGCCGAAUUUAAUAACCAUGUGCCAGGGAAUAUUCUAAGAAAAUGUAGUCAAGACCCAGAAUACGCCAGAUACUGCCUUCCAUAAUAAUUUGAUAGUGACAGAAAAUCGGAUUCUAGUCUAAAUUGUAGCUGCAAGUUGGCAUACCGGAACUAAAGAUACGUUGCCUCAACUUCUGGGCGUGCACGAGAGUGUGUAACCUUGAAUCGAUUGCUUCUGCCUGGCGGAGGUUUAUUAGGGGAGGACUCGGCACCAAGCUACCAGGAAAAGGAGGUGAGUUAGGAAAAGCCGUCAAAUUUUAGGAGGACGCUCUGGGUCAGCUUGGAGAGACCCCAAACGUGCCGAAGUUGCAGUUAUGUUCACACCCGGGGUGAUGCGAGUUUUGCGCAAGAACAAGACCCUUCGCUACGGAGUCCCCAUGUUGUUGCUGAUUGUUGGAGGUUCUUUUGGUCUUCGUGAGUUCUCACAAAUCCGGUAUGAUGCUGUGAAGAUUAAAGUAAGAAUUACAAUUGGAGUUCGACUUAUGUCUGUAUAUAUUGAUCCUGAAUUGGAAAAAAAGCUGAAAAUGAGUAAAAUAUCUUUAGAGUCAGAAUACGAGAAAAUAAAGGACGCUACUUUUGAAGACUGGAAGAAUAUUCGAGGCCCAAGGCCUUGGGAAGAUCCUGAUCUCCUUCAAGGACGAAAUCCAGAAACCCUUAAGACUAAGUCAACCUGACUAUGUUCAUUCUUUUUAAAAAAUGUUAUCAGUGGGACAUACUGGAUCAUUGCUUUAAAAUUCUAGGUCUGUGGAAACCUGGCUAUGAGUAAUUUGAUAGAAGAUAAACUUGAUUUUUAAAAAGUCAAGUACAAGUGUUUGUAUUUCCCAGCUAGUCCACUUGCAAAUCAAAGUAAUAGUAUUGACAACAUAAAAACACAUUUCAAAGAAAAACCUGAGUACUGCUUUCCAGGUAUGUCACAUAUCCCACUCAAGAUGGGCACUCAUCUACACCAGUCACUAUUGCAACAUUUUGCUACUUCAUUUGGAUUUAAUGAAAAUAGCAGGCUUCAGUUCAAUUCUCACAGUAAAAUGGGGCCGUGAUUUUAUGCUAAACUUACAUAGAAAAGUAAUCUUGAUCACUAUCUAGUAACUCUUGGUAUUACUUGUAAUAUAUCAUAGUAUGCUAAUCAGUCUCUAAAGCAUCAUCUCAUGAGUGUGUUGAUGCCAUGCUUAAACUUAUUAUCAAUGUUAAGGAAAUAAUAUUCCCAGUUAAAAAAUGUUAAACAAAUUAACCUUGAGCCAAAAAUAAUGAAGUAGUACAUGAUCGUAAGCAGAUGCAGCAAAUUGUUAAGGUAAUUCAGAGAUAACUGCUAUUUGGAAAAAGCUUAUUUAAUUUAUGCUUUAUCCCUUAGCAUAAUUCACAUACAAAAUUAUUCUAGCUUUUUGUUUGGUUGGCUGGUUUUGGUUUUUAAUUUUAGGUUUGCUAUAACCUCAUCCCUAGUAAAAGAAUAAGAAUGUUCUUUUUUUUUUAACUCAUUUUCUCCUUUUCACUGUUCUGGACAGCCUUGACCCUCUACCUUCUGGUAUUUUAAUGCUUAAUUCUAAAUGCCUAAUGUCUCAAAUAGCCCCACUACAAUUGCCAAAAAAAGUAAUAAAUCUGCCCCACUUUUACCCCAGUAAAAAAUUUGUAUUCUCAGCAAGUUACUGUUGUAGAGAGUAGAGUAAACUGGUUAUCUUGUAGUAAUAAUUGGUGAGAGAGGUGAUUUAUAAGACUUAAUUAUCUGGAGGAAUAAGUUUCACUGGAGAGAGAGUGAUUGGUUCACCCAAAUUUCACUGCUACAAAAAAGUAACUCAAAAGUGGAUCAUUGAUUUAAAUGUAAAAAAUUUUUAGAAAAGUCUUUGAAACCUAUUAAAUAGUUCAUAUUAAAUAUUUCUUACAAAAAUAUUCAUAAAAGAAAACAUUAUUAAAUUGACUUUAUCAAAAUCACAGAACUUUUUCUCCUUACAGACUGUUUAAUUGAUGAAAGAUGUAGGGACUCAAAGAAAGUAUUAAUGAAUAACAUAUCUGGUAAAAGUUGUCUAGAAUACAGAACUCUAAUAACAGUUUUCAAAAAUCCAUUAAUAAAAUAGGCAAAAACCAGAGAUACUUCAUAAAAAGGAUAUAUAGAUGGCAAAUAAGUACAUGAAAAGCAUAUUUGAUAUCAGUAGCCAUUAAGGAAAUGUUAAUUUAGACCACAUUGAAAUAUUAAUUACUCUUAGAACAGCUAAAAUAAGCAGGUAUGGUGGUGCACACCUGUAAUCCCAGGUACUCUAGAGAAUGAAACAGGAAAACUACAAGUUUGAGUCCAGCAUGGAGAACAUAUCUCAAAAAAAAAAAAAAAAAGCUGGAGAUUUAGUUUAGUGAUGGAACACUUGCCUGACAUGUGAGAGACCCUGGCUUCAAUUUCCAUUACUACACACACACGUGUAUACGCACACUAAAAUUGAAAAAUAGUGGCAGUACCAAAUGCUGACCAAGAUGUGAAGAAACCAAAUCUCUCACAUAUUGCUGGCAUCAUGUUAAGUAAAGCCAUCCUGGAAAAUCAUCAGUCUCUUCAAAAGAAGCACAAGAUACUUGUGGUUUCCUUUUUAACAUAUAAGAGUCUUCAAGGUUUUUUUGUUUUUGUUUUUUUUGUUAUGGGGAUCAAACUCCAGAUCUUGCACUUGUGAGGCAGGUGGCGGUACUACUGAGCUAAAUCCCAGGCCCAGAAUCUUCAAGUUUUAACUCUACCCCUAAUAUAUUGAAAAAGUGCAAAAUCAAUUCUUCUUUAAUCUGUCUGAGAAUUGAGGUCACAGGAAAAGCCACCAGCAUGAAAACUGGAGACAUAAGCACAGCAUCACAGUUACCUGGAGGAGAGUCUGCCCAGAAUCCACUGCUGGAGCCACCAUCAGAUACAGAUGAGCUAAUUGAUAGAAACUGAGUAUGGACUAACUUGAAAGAAAAACUACUGGAGGCCAGGCCUUGUGAGGAAGAAAAUCCUGGUCUCAAGGGAAACUUUUGCUAGAACCUAAUCACUUUGGAUGUCACCAGAGCUUAAUCACCUGGAAAAAGGGAAACUUUCAACUCCAGCUUACCGCAUCCUUCCAUUUCACCUAAGGAGGGGUUGAGUGCCUGGGAGAAUGACUGAGAAGUAAUGGUGCAGGUAAAAGUCAAGGGGCUACUUUCACUAAAGGUCUAAUCAUUGGACUGUAGAAUGCCUCUUACUCCUGUUGCCACAUCAGUAAAGGCCUAUUCACAGGAGUUCUUUUUGUCCAGUAUAUUUUGUCCAAGGUUCAACAAAAAAGGAAGAAAAAAAGAUAGUUUGAAGAGUUAAGAUAAGCAUCAGAACUAGACUCAGUUAUUAAAUGUUACAAUUAUCAGGUUGGGAAUUUAAAAUGAUUGAUUAAUAUGAUAGGAGCUCUAAUGGAGAAUGUAUGUAACAUAAAAGAGCAGAUGGCUAAUAAAGGCAGAAAAAUAGAAGUAAAGUAAAAUUUUAAAAAUACAAUCUCACAAGUGAAGAAUCCUUUUAUUGGAUCAUCAUUAAAGUGAACAUGACUGAGGAAAAAAAAGAAAAGGAGAAGAGGGAGAAAAGUAGAUAUACAUGCUAACACUAAUAGCUGAGGUCAAUGUAUUAAUUUCAGACAAAACAGAGGGGUCCUAUCCUAUAAUGAUAAAGAGUCCUUUCUACAAAAAGACAUUAUUUUUAAUGUGCAUGUGCCUAACAAUGAACCAGCAAACCAGUAACAGAUAAAAAAAAAAAAUCUCCAAAUACUUGAGAAUUAAACAAUAUUCUUCUCAUUCACUUAUGGCUCAAAGAACUGUUUAAGAAAAAUUAAAAGUAUUUUCUAAGCCAGGCAUGCUGGUGCAUGUCCUGCUGAGGCAGGACAUUUGCAAGCUCAAUCCAAGCCUAAGCACUUCAGUAAUUUAGCAAGAUCUCGUCUCAAAAUAAAAUAAAUAUAUCAAUAAAUAGUGAUUCAGUUUAGUGUAAGGCCCUAGGUUCAAUUCCCAGUACCACAACAACAACAACAACAAAGUACAAAAUGAAAUCUAGGGCCAAGUAUUUAGCUUAGUGGUUAUACACUUGCUUCAUAAGCACCAAGUCCUGAGUUGGAUCCCUGGUGCCAGACAAGAAAGAAAAAGAAAUUGAAAUACAAUUUAUCAAAUUUUAUUCAAUGAAAGAUUCUUUUAAUUGAAUGUGUUAGAAUAAAAGGAAAAGUCUAAAAUUAUUAAUCUGAAUUUUUAGCUUAGGAAAUUUUUUAAAAAGCAGAUUAAAUUCCAAGAAACAGGAGGAAAAAAAAAAAGCAGAAAUCAGUACAGAUGUAAGCAGAAGAAUGGUGGAGAAACUCAAGCCAAAACUAGUUCAUUGAAAAUAUCACUAAAAUUGAUAAACCUCUAGCCAGACUAAGGGUAAAAAACAAAAAGUACUAAUAUGAGAAUUAAAAAGAUCAUUGCUAAUUACUCCAGAGACAUUAAAAAAGUAUUAAGAGCAAUGCUAUACCCAUAAAUUUGAAGACAUACACAAAAUAGUUAAAUUUCUUAAAAGAUACUGUCUACCAAAACUUAACAUAAGGAGAAAAUCAUCUGAAUGGGCCCAUAUUUAUUAAAUUGACUCUAUAAUUAACCUUCCAAAGGAAAAAGUAUGAGAGUGGUGAAGUCUAUCAAACAUUUAAAGAUGAACUUAUGGCAAUUCUCUAUGACCUCUUCCAGAAGAUAGAAGUAGGUAGAAUACUUCCUAACUCAAAAGCAGGCAAAGACAUAAGAAAGGAAAACUAAACCAAUACCAUGAAUAUUGAUGCAAAAAUCCUUAACAAAUAUUAGCAAAUGAAAUCCAAUAGUGUAGAAAAUAAUUAGACACCACUUUCAAGUGAGAUUCAUUUCAGGUCUGAAGGCUAGUUCAACAUUCCAAAAGCAAUAUUAUCACAUCAACAAGCUAACAAAAUCACAUGACCACGUCAUUAGAAAAAGCAGUAGACAAAUUCCAACACCCAUUUAUGAUUCUUUAAAAAAGGAACUUUCUUAACUCCUUAGAGUACUUGGAUGCUUUCCAUAAGAUCAGGAUUUUUCCCUUUCACCACUUCUACAUAAUGUCAUAUGGAAAUUCCCAGGUAAAGUAAGACAAAAAAAA